rnacentral:rRNA from 1 species
UGUAGUCUAUAGAGGCGUGGUCAGCGUGAGCUCUGGGUAAGUUCCUGGAAAAGGACAGCAUGGAGGGUGAUACUCCCGUUCAUCUCCGAGUGGCUCGUGCGUACGACCCGUUUUCUUUGAGUCGCGUUGUUUGAGAAUGCAGCGCAAAGUAGGUGGUAAAUUCCAUCUAAAGCUAAAUAUUGGUGCGAGACCGAUAGCAUACAAGUACCGUGAGGGAAAGAUGAAAAGAACUUUGAAAAGAGAGUUAAAGAGUACCUGAAACUGCUGAAAGGGAACCGAAUCGUUUCCAGUGUCUAUAAUCUGUGGCAUAUUUCAUUGGCGAGUGUGUGCGUGCGUGUGCUGUGGCAGCGGCCUUUUGGCUGCGCUUGGCGCGUGUGGUGUGUGUGCUUGCUGGUGCCCUGUGCUGCGGUGGGACGUCAAUGUCAGUUCGUAUGCUGCGGGAAAUGGCUGCCGAGGAGGUAGGGCUUACGCUUGCGUUUGUCUGUUAUAUCUUGGUGGACGAGUCGUCGUGGUUGGGACUGAGGUGCCUACAACGUGCUUUUGAGUGGGUUUGUGUCUCUGUGUGUGCCGUGUGCGGAUAGCUUGCUAUGCGUGUGUGGUUAUGUGUGGAUUGAUAUGGGCUUUAACUUGUUGCCGUUCGGGACGUUGACGAAAUGGAGCGAUCCGACCCGUCUUGAAACACGGACCAAGGAGUCUAACAUGUGUGCAAGUGUUAGGGUGUGGAAACCCCAGCGCGAAAUGAAAGUAAAGGGCAGCGCAAGCUGUCUGAGGUAGGAAACGUUGCGGGCUUCGGUCUGCGGCGUGGCACUAUCGACCGAUCAUGAACCUUCGUGGUGAAAGAUUUGAGUUUGAGCACAUAUGUUGGUACCCGAAAGAUGGUGAACUAUGCCUGAGUAGGGUGAAGCCAGGGGAAACUCUGGUGGAAGCUCGUAGCGAUUCUGACGUGCAAAUCGAUCGUCAAACUUGGGUAUAGGGGCGAAAGACUAAUCGAACCAUCUAGUAGCUGGUUCCCUCCGAAAUUUCCCUCAGGAUAGCAGCAACUUAUUUACGAUAGUUUUAUGAGGUAAAGCGAAUGAUUAGAGGAUUCGGGGAAGAAACUUCCUCGACCUAUUCUCAAACUUUAAAUCUGUAAGACCUGCAGGUUUCUUAAUUGAACUUGUGG